UGCCUUAGUAACGGCGAGUGAAGCGGCAAUAGCUCAAAUUUGAAAGCUGGCCCCUUUGGGGUCCGCGUUGUAAUUUGUAGAGGAUGAUUCGGCGAGGGCUCCCGUCUAAGUCCCCUGGAACGGGGCGUCAUAGAGGGUGAGAAUCCCGUAUGUGAUGGGUUGCCUUAGCCAUGUGAAUCUCCUUCGACGAGUCGAGUUGUUUGGGAAUGCAGCUCUAAAUGGGAGGUAAAUUUCUUCUAAAGCUAAAUACCGGCCAGAGACCGAUAGCGCACAAGUAGAGUGAUCGAAAGAUGAAAAGCACUUUGGAAAGAGAGUUAAAAAGUACGUGAAAUUGUUGAAAGGGAAGCGCUUGCAGCCAGACUUGUCCGCAGUUGCUCAGCCGGUCUCCUGACCGGCGUACUCUUCUGCGGCCAGGCCAGCAUCAGUUCGGGCGGUCGGAUAAAGACCCUAGGAAUGUAGCUCCUCUCGGGGAGUGUUAUAGCCUGGGGUGGAAUGCGGCCAGCCUGGACUGAGGAUCUCGCUUCGGCUAGGAUGCUGGCGUAAUGGCUGUAAGCGGCCCGUCUUGAAACACGGACCAAGGAGUCUAACAUCUAUGCGAGUGUUUGGGUGUCAAACCCAUACGCGUAAUGAAAGUGAACGGAGGUGGGAACCCUCACGGGUGCACCAUCGACCGAUCCUGAUGUCUUCGGAUGGAUUUGAGUAAGAGCAUAGCUGUUGGGACCCGAAAGAUGGUGAACUAUGCCUGAAUAGGGUGAAGCCAGAGGAAACUCUGGUGGAGGCUCGCAGCGGUUCUGACGUGCAAAUCGAUCGUCAAAUUUGGGUAUAGGGGCGAAAGACUAAUCGAACCAUCUAG
rnacentral:rRNA from 1 species